UACGGAGGGUGCAAGCGUUAUCCGGAUUUACUGGGUUUAAAGGGUGCGUAGGUGGGUUUGUAAGUCAGUGGUGAAAUCUCCGAGCUUAACUCGGAAACUGCCAUUGAUACUAUAGAUCUUGAAUUAUCUGGAGGUGAGCGGAAUAUGUCAUGUAGCGGUGAAAUGCUUAGAUAUGACAUAGAACACCAAUUGCGAAGGCAGCUCACUACGGAUAUAUUGACACUGAGGCACGGAAAGCGAUGGG
rnacentral:rRNA from 1 species